rnacentral:rRNA from 1 species
GUGCAGCAGUCGAGAAUUUUUCUCAAUGGGGGCAACCCUGAAGGAGCGACGCCGCGUGGAGGAUGAAGGCUUUCGGGUCGUAAACUCCUGUCAUUUGAGAACAAGUGCCAACAAGUAACUACUGUUGGCUUGAUAGUAUCAGAAGAGGAAGGGACGGCUAACUCUGUGCCAGCAGCCGCGGUAAUACAGAGGUCCCAAGCGUUGUUCGGAUUCAUUGGGCGUAAAGGGUGCGUAGGUGGCGCCGUCAGUGGGGGUGUGAAAUUCCGGAGCUUAACUCCGAAACUGCAUUCCAUACUGCGGUGCUUGAGGACUGGAGAGGAGACUGGAAUUCAUGGUGUAGCAGUGAAAUGCGUAGAGAUCAUGAGGAAGACCAGUGGCGAAGGCGGGUCUCUGGACAGUUCCUGACACUGAGGCACGAAGGCUAGGGGAGCGAACGGGAUUAGAUACCCCUGUAGUU